rnacentral:rRNA from 1 species
UCGAGGGGUAUUGGGAGCUUGCUUCCAGAGACCGGCGCACGGGUGCGUAACGCGUAUGCAACCUACCUUUCACAGGGGGAUAGCCCAGAGAAAUUUGGAUUAAUACCCCAUGGUAUUAUCGGGUGGCAUCAUUUGAUAAUUAAAGUUCCAACGGUGAAAGAUGGGCAUGCGUCCUAUUAGCUGGUUGGUGUGGUAACGGCACACCAAGGCGACGAUAGGUAGGGGUCCUGAGAGGGAGAUCCCCCACACUGGUACUGAGACACGGACCAGACUCCUACGGGAGGCAGCAGUGAGGAAUAUUGGUCAAUGGACGCAAGUCUGAACCAGCCAUGCCGCGUGCAGGAUGAAGCAUCUAUGGUGUGUAAACUGCUUUUAUACGGGAAGAACCCCCGCCUCGUGAGGCGGACUGACGGUACCGUAAGAAUAAGGACCGGCUAACUCCGUGCCAGCAGCCGCGGUAAUACGGAGGGUCCAAGCGUUAUCCGGAAUCAUUGGGUUUAAAGGGUCCGUAGGCGGCCCGGUAAGUCAGUGGUGAAAUCUCCCCGCUCAACGGGGAAACGGCCAUUGAUACUGCCGGGCUUGAAUAACCAGGAAGUAACUAGAAUAUGU